rnacentral:rRNA from 1 species
AUGACAUUGCUCAGCUUCUUCUUGAUCCUCUGCUCCCACGCUCUUGCUGUGUCCCCCGCUCCGGGGAGGGGUAGCGACCAACUCGCGCUCCUCUCCUUCAAGUCCACCAUUGCGCCCCCGAGAGGGUUGCUGGCUUCAUGGAACACCUCCACCCACCACUGCAGCUGGCCAGGCGUUGCUUGCGGGCGGCGGCACCCCGAUAGGGUCGUCUCCCUACGCAUGGCCUCCUUCAACCUGUCGGGACGCAUCUCGCCAUUCUUGGGCAACCUCUCCUUUCUCAGGGAGCUUGACCUCGGCGACAACCACCUCGCCGGUCAGAUACCCCCGGAGCUCGGCCAUCUUGCCAGGCUUCGGCUCCUAAGCCUCAGGGUGAAUUCUCUCCAGGGAAGCAUUCCUGUGGCUCUUGGAGGAUGCACCAACCUCACCACGCUUGACCUAAGUAGAAACCAUCUCCAAGGUGAGAUCCCGGGCGAGAUAGGUUCCAGCUUGAAGAAUCUUGUCACUUUGAACCUUUCCAGAAAUGAUUUGUCAGGACAUAUCCCUGGCUCGCUGGUGCAAUCACCAUCCAUCCAAACCUUGUCUAUGUUUCUCAACAGAUUAUCUGGUAGGAUACCACCUGUUUUGGGCAACCUCUCCAACCUCAAAUAUCUUCAGGUCGAUCACAACGCCCUGUCCGGACCUAUCCCGCCGUCUUUGGGCAUGUUGCCCAAACUAUCUCGGCUCAGCAUCGGCUUUAACAACUUGAGUGGAGUGAUCCCCAAUUCCAUUUGGAACAUUUCCUCUCUAACACUGCUUUCUGUCCAGGAAAAUAUGCUUAGUGGAACAAUACCUCCAAACGCAUUCAGUAAUCUUCACCUUCUCCAAGACAUAUCGUUGGAUGCUAACCACUUCCAUGGCCCCAUCCCAGCUGCAAUAGCUAAUGCUUCUAAUAUCGCAUUACUUCAGAUGUCAGAGAACUUUUUCAGUGGCAUCGUUCCUCCCGAGGUUGGAAGCUUUCCGAAUCUCUUCCGGAUAAAUCUCCAACAAAAUUUGCUUCGCGCAAAAGAGCCCAAAGAUUGGGAAUUCAUAACCACGUUAACAAAUUGCACAGUGUUACAAGUUUUGGGGUUGGGAACCAAUAAGUUUGAGGGAGUCCUCCCUGAUUCACUUUCCAACCUUUCCACCUCCUUGGUGCAACUCGGCCUUCAAGAGAACAAAAUAUCAGGAAGCCUCCCUAAAGAUAUAGGUAACCUCAUUAACUUGCAAUUUAUCAUUCUCUAUACUAACUCUUUCACCCAAACUCUCCCCUCUUCCUUGAGUAGCCUCAAAUUCCUUUCCCUACUCCAAGUAUACGAAAAUAAAAUAAGUGGGUCUAUUCCACAGAAUAUAGGAAAUCUUACUGAACUAAUUUCUUUGGACCUCAGCAUGAAUGCCUUUGGUGGUAGGUUACCACGCACACUUGGAAACCUAACAAACUUGUUGACACUAGAUCUUUCAAGUAAUAACUUUACAGGACCAAUACCCAGCGGAUUAUUCAACAUCCCAACACUCUCAGAAUAUCUUUCUCUAUCAAGUAAUAACUUGGAGGGAUCGCUACCUCAUGAAAUAGGGAAUCUAAAAAAUCUAGUAGAAUUCCAUGCAGAGUCAAACAUUUUAUCAGGUGAAAUCCCGAGCACCAUCGGUGGAUGUCAACUUCUCCAGCAACUCUACCUCCAAAACAACAAAUUUGAAGGUACCAUCCCAUCAGUCCUUAGUCAAAUGAAAGGUCUACAAACUCUAGACAUUUCGAGCAACAAUUUGUCAGGCCAGAUACCUAAAUCCUUUGCAGACCUUACCACACUCUAUUAUCUCAACCUUUCAUUCAAUAGCCUUUCUGGGGAAGUGCCAAUCACUGGUGUUUUUGCAAAUUCUUCAGCAAUAUCAAUCCAAGGAAAUGGAAACCUUUGUGGCGGUGUACCUAAUUUACAUUUGGCCCCUUGUUCCUUGCAAUUAGCAAAGAAGAAACAUAAAUUCCCGGUUGCGUGUAUGCCUAUUUCUAUCAUUGCAACACUGGUUGUUCUUGCCUUCCUCUACAAGCUUCUUCUUACCUGGCAAAAUAAAAGACAAGCAACAAUCCUGUCGACAACGUCCAUGCAAGGUUACCAACUGAUUUCUUAUAGUCAGUUGGCGAGGGCAACAUAUGGUUUCUCGGCAGGGAAUUUGCUGGGUUCUGGAUCAUUUGGGUCUGUGUACAAAGGAGAGUUGGAUGGUCAUGCUGGAGAAAAUUCAAACCUUGUUGCUGUCAAGGUAUUAAAACUUCAAACUCCAAAGGCGCCGAAGAGUUUCACUGCCGAAUGCAAAGCAUUAGGAAAUAUGCGACACCGCAAUCUUCUCAAGAUAGUUACAGUUUGCUCAAGCAUUGAUACCAGAGGGAAUGAAUUCAAAGCAAUUGUGUAUGAUUUCAUGCCUAAUGGUAGUCUAGAAGGUUGGCUACAUCUUGACACAAGUGACCAAGCAGAGCAAAAGUAUUUGAAUCUGCAUCAAAGAGUGACAAUACUACUUGAUGUGGCUUAUGCCUUGGACUAUCUUCACUGCCAUGGUCCUGCACCUGUUGUACAUUGCGAUGUGAAGCCAAGUAAUGUGCUCCUAGAUGAUAAUAUGGUAGCCCAUGUUGGAGAUUUUGGUCUUGCUAAGAUUCUUAACGAGGGAAGCUCAUUUCUCGAGCAGUCCAUGAGCUCAAUGGGAUUUCGAGGGACAAUUGGUUAUGCUGCCCCAGAGUAUGGUGUUGGAAACCCCGUGUCCAAGCAUGGAGAUAUUUACAGUUAUGGCAUUCUUGUGUUGGAAACAGCCACUGGAAAGAGGCCCACCGAUAGCAAAUUCAGACAAGGAUUGAGCCUUCGUGAGUAUGUUGAGCUUGGUCUAUGUGAUAGUAUGAUGGAGGUUGUGGACAUGCGGCUAUCGUUGGAUCUUGAGUAUGGGCUUCAAACUGUGAAUGCUUCUGCAUACAAGAGAACGAUUGAUUGCCUUGUUUCGCUACUUAAACUCGGAAUUUCCUGCUCUCAGGAAUUGCCGUCAAGUAGAAUGCCAACCGGAGAUAUCGUCAAGGAACUUCAUGCCAUGAAAGAAUCUCUCUCGAGGGAGUAG